GAUCAAGCGACUAAGUGCAUCUGGUGGAUGCCUUGGCGAUCAUAGGCGAUGAAGGACGUGUAAGCCUGCGAAAAGCGCGGGGGAGCUGGCAAUAGAGCAUUGAUCCCGCGAUGUCCGAAUGGGGAAACCCACCUCUUUUGAGGUAUCCCUGGCUGAAUCCAUAGGCCAGCGGAGGCGAACCCGGCGAACUGAAACAUCUAAGUAGCCGGAGGAAAAGAAAUCAACCGAGAUUCCGCAAGUAGUGGCGAGCGAACGCGGAAGAGCCUGUACGUGAUAGCAGUCGUGUUAGAAGAACGGUCUGGAAAGGCCGGCCAUAGUGGGUGAUAGCCCCGUAUUCGAAAACACAAUUGUGGUACUGAGCGUACGAGAAGUAGGGCGGGACACGUGAAAUCCUGUCUGAAGAUGGGGGGACCAUCCUCCAAGGCUAAAUACUCAUGAUCGACCGAUAGUGAACCAGUACCGUGAGGGAAAGGCGAAAAGAACCCCGGGAGGGGAGUGAAACAGAACCUGAAACCGGAUGCAUACAAACAGUGGGAGCCUGGAAACGGGUGACUGCGUACCUUUUGUAUAAUGGGUCAGCGACUUACAUUCAGUAGCGAGCUUAACCAGAUAGGGGAGGCGUAGCGAAAGCGAGUCCGAACAGGGCGUUGAGUUGCUGGGUGUAGACCCGAAACCGGAUGAUCUAUCCAUGGCCAGGAUGAAGGUGCGGUAACACGCACUGGAGGUCCGAACCCACGUCUGUUGCAAAAGACGGGGAUGAGCUGUGGAUAGGGGUGAAAGGCUAAACAAAUCCGGAAAUAGCUGGUUCUCUCCGAAAACUAUUUAGGUAGUGCCUCGAGAUUACACUGACGGGGGUAGAGCACUGUUAUGGCUAGGGGGUCAUUGCGAUUUACCAACCCAUGGCAAACUCCGAAUACCGUCAAGUGCGUCCUCGGGAGACAGACAGCGGGUGCUAACGUCCGUUGUCAAGAGGGAAACAACCCAGACCGCCAGCUAAGGUCCCAAAUGACAUGCUAAGUGGUAAACGAAGUGGGAAGGCCAAGACAGCCAGGAUGUUGGCUUAGAAGCAGCCAUCAUUCAAAGAAAGCGUAAUAGCUCACUGGUCGAGUCGUCCUGCGCGGAAGAUGUAACGGGGCUCAAGCAUGUAACCGAAGCUGCGGAUGCGUACUUGUACGCAUGGUAGGAGAGCGUUCUGUAGGCCUGCGAAGGUGGUGGUGUAAACCCUGCUGGAGGUAUCAGAAGUGCGAAUGCUGACAUGAGUAGCGAUAAAGCGGGUGAAAGUCCCGCUCGCCGAAAACCCAAGGUUUCCUACGCAACGUUCAUCGGCGUAGGGUGAGUCGGCCCCUAAGGCGAGGCAGAAAUGCGUAGUCGAUGGGAAACGGGUCAAGAUUCCCGUACCGGUUGUGAAUGCGAUGGGGGGACGGAGAAGGGUAGCUCAGCGGCCUGUUGGAAUAGGUCGUUUAAGCGUGUAGGAGUGGUCUCCUGGCAAAUCCGGAGAUCUUAUCUGAGGCGUGAUGACGAGGGUCUACGGACCUGAAGUGAGUAAUCCCAAGCUUCCAGGAAAAGCCUCUAAGCUUCAGUUCACAACUGACCGUACCGCAAACCGACACAGGUGGGUAGGUAGAGAAUACCAAGGCGCUUGAGAGAACUCGGGUUAAGGAACUCGGCAAAUUGACACCGUAACUUCGGGAGAAGGUGUGCCCCGGUAGCGUGUAGGACUUCGCGUCCGAAGCGUGAUGGGGUCGCAGAGAAUAGGUGGCUGCGACUGUUUAAUAAAAACACAGCUCUGUGCCAACACGAAAGUGGACGUAUACGGAGUGACGCCUGCCCGGUGCCGGAAGGUUAAGUGAUGGGGUGCAAGCUCUUGAUCGAAGCCCCGGUAAACGGCGGCCGUAACUAUAACGGUCCUAAGGUAGCGAAAUUCCUUGUCGGGUAAGUUCCGACCCGCACGAAUGGCGUAACGAUGGCCACACUGUCUCAACCCGAGACUCAGCGAAGUUGAAAUGUUUGUGAAGAUGCAAUCUCCCCGCUGCUAGACGGAAAGACCCCGUGAACCUUUACUGUAGCUUUGCAUUGGACUUUGAACAGGCUUGUGUAGGAUAGGUGGGAGGCUUUGAAGCUGAGACGCUAGUUUCAGUGGAGCCGUCCUUGAAAUACCACCCUGGUGUGUUUGAGGUUCUAACCUGGGUCCAU
rnacentral:rRNA from 1 species